UCUGAGUCAAUACAAUGUGAUGCCAAUCAAAAAGCAUCAUGGAGGCAUAGCUGCAGUAUAUGAUGUCCAGCUCGAACUGCCAUGGCUCGCACCAUCUCCUAAUGGGCCUAGUGUAGCCGGGUGGUAUCUUGAUACAGAGAUGCUGUCCUGGGUGCUCGUGUCUCCAAUGCUCUAAAGUGAGGUUCUUCGAUAGAUCUCGCCCUCGCCUCACUACAGAUGGAGACUAACCUGAAAUAAUAAUAAAUAAAUC
rnacentral:lncRNA from 1 species